UACAGAGGGUGCAAGCGUUGUCCGGAAUUAUUGGGCGUAAAGAGCUCGUAGGCGGCUUGUCGCGUCGGAUGUGAAAGCCCGGGGCUUAACUCCGGGUCUGCAUUCGAUACGGGCAGGCUAGAGUUCGGUAGGGGAGAUCGGAAUUCCUGGUGUAGCGGUGAAAUGCGCAGAUAUCAGGAGGAACACCGGUGGCGAAGGCGGAUCUCUGGGCCGAUACUGACGCUGAGGAGCGAAGCGUGGGAGCGAACAGG
rnacentral:rRNA from 1 species